UUCUUCCACUUCUCUACACCUCUCUAAACUUAAAAUCUCUCUACCUCCCUCUUCUUCCUCCACCGCCGCCGCCACUGUCACCGUGGCCCAUCGAAAUAGUUUCCCGACGGCAGCCUACCUUUAAAUUCCCUUAAAUUCACACAAUCUUUUCCUCUUUUCCUCCUCUACCUCAUCUUAUCAACCAAACUCCUCAAAGACUAACCAAAAUUCGUAGAUCUAAAAAAAAGCAAAACCCUAGAUCUACCUUUUUUUGUGUGCAUUUUCCUCGCCAUUAAAAAAUCCUCCGGUCAAGAUCUCCCAUCAAGGAUCUUAGAUCCAAGACGAGAUUUUUGAGGAUCUUUUCACGGUUAGAUCCAUGUAAUUUUGUAUUUAGUUUCCACCUUCCUUAAUUUAUUUAUGCAUUUAUAUUUUUUGCAUUUUUAUUCUCGUUAUGUAUGUUAUUUUCUAUUUUUUUAUUUCUAUUUAUUUAAUGUUUUUUAUUUAUUAUUAUUUAUAUUCUGCGCAAUUAUUUUAAAUAUUUAUUUUGUCCGAUUUUUAUUUAUUUAUUUUUUCUGUUUAACGCAUUUGUUUUACCUCUAUUAUAAUUAAUUAAUUGCUUAAGUCAUAGUUAACUAAAGUAUGAAAAAAAUAUGUGUAUAUAGAUUUUAAUUAGAUAAAAAUGAUUAAAAUAUUAUUAAAAAUGUAGUAUUUAGAUUCCGUUUUUAUUUUUUAUUUUACAUCUCAU
rnacentral:lncRNA from 1 species